rnacentral:rRNA from 1 species
UACGAAGGGGGCUAGCGUUGUUCGGAGUUACUGGGCGUAAAGGGCGCGUAGGCGGCGCACCAAGUCAGGCGUGAAAGCCCUGGGCUCAACCCGGGAAUUGCGCUUGAGACUGGUGUGCUUGAGUACGGGAGAGGAUAGUGGAAUUCCCAGUGUAGAGGUGAAAUUCGUAGAUAUUGGGAAGAACACCGGUGGCGAAGGCGGCUAUCUGGACCGUAACUGAUGCUGAGGCGCGAAAGCGUGGGGAGCAAACAGG